rnacentral:rRNA from 1 species
AUUGAACGCUGGCGGAAUGCUUUACACAUGCAAGUCGAACGGUAGAGGGGCAACCCUUGAGAGUGGCGAACGGGUAAGUAAUGUAUCGGAACAUGCCCAGUCGUGGGGGAUAACGUAGCGAAAGUUACGCUAAUACCGCAUACGAUCUACGGACGAAAGCGGGGGACUCGCAAGAGCCUCGCGCGAUUGGAGUGGCCGAUAUCAGAUUAGGUAGUUGGUAGGGUAAAAGCCUACCAAGCCGACGAUCUGUAGCUGGUCUGAGAGGACGACCAGCCACACUGGGACUGAGACACGGCCCAGACUCCUACGGGAGGCAGCAGUGGGGAAUUUUGGACAAUGGGCGCAAGCCUGAUCCAGCCAUUCCGCGUGCAGGAAGAAGGCCUUCGGGUCGUAAACUGCUUUUGUACGGAACGAAACGCGCUAGGUUAAUACCCUGGCGUAAUGACGGUACCGUAAGAAUAAGCACCGGCUAACUACGUGCCAGCCGCCGCGGUAAUAC